rnacentral:rRNA from 1 species
AUACGUAGGGGGCGAGCGUUGUCCGGAAUGACUGGGCGUAAAGGGCGUGUAGGCGGCGGUGUAAGUCUGGAGUGAAAGUCCCGCAUUCAAUGUGGGAAUUGCUUUGGAUACUGCAGUGCUAGAGUGCGGAAGAGGUAAGUGGAAUUCCCAGUGUAGCGGUGAAAUGGGUAGAGAUUGGGAGGAACACCAGUGGCGAAGGCGACUUACUGGGCCGUAACUGUCGCUGAGGCGCGAAAGCGUGGGGAGCGAACAGGAUUAGAUACCCUGGUAGUCCACGCGGUAAACGAUGAAUGCUAGGUGUUGCGGGUAGCGACCCCUGCAGUGCCGGAGUAAACACAAUAAGCAUUCCGCCUGGGGAGUACGGCCGCAAGGUUGAAACUCAAAUGAAUUGACGGGG